GUUUUCGUGGUGUAACGGUAGCACAUUCGGCUCGUAUUCGAGAAGUCCAGGUGCGUGUCCUGGGAAACG
rnacentral:tRNA from 1 species